UGGGGAAUCUUCCGCAAUGGACGAAAGUCUGACGGAGCAACGCCGCGUGGGUGACGAAGGUUUUCGGAUCGUAAACUUCUAUCCUUGGUGAAGAGAAGAAGACGGUAGCCAAGAAGGAAGCCCCGGCUAACUACGUGCCAGCAGCCGCGGUAAUACGGGGGGUGCAAGCGUUGUCCGGAAUCAUUGGGCGUAAAGCGUUCGUAGGCGGUAUAUCAAGUCUGGUGUUAAAGCCCGGGGCUCAACUCCGGUUCAGCAUCGGAUACUGGUAAACUAGAAUGCGGUAGAGGUAAGGGGAAUUCCUGGUGUAGCGGUGAAAUGCGUAGAUAUCAGGAGGAACAUCGGUGGCGAAAGCGCCUUACUGGGCCGUUAUUGACGCUGAGGAACGAAAGCCGGGGGAGCAAAU
rnacentral:rRNA from 1 species